CCGUUCAUCUAUCUCUCACAGUCUCUCCUCGUAGCCUUCGUUGCAUCAGAGCUCAAGCGCGCAGUGUAACAAAUUUCUUCAUCUAAACUUCAACAUUCUCUUCUUACCUAAUGUCUCUGUCUCUCUGAUGCUAUUGUUCAUGUACAAUGGCUGCAAACGCCCCAAUCACCAUAAAAUAGACCUUAACGCAAAUGGGUGUGGGUUGUCCCCAUUUUUUACAUUCGUCAGAUCUCAAAGCCUCACAGCACUGUCACCAUUCCGUUACAGUGACCCAACUGUGAAGUUUCCACUUUUUUUUUUUGUUUUAUUUUCGAUUUGGUGUUCUUUUGCAGCUGGGAAUCGUCGGAAUCAACCAGCAAUUCAUGACAUUUACUCAUGUGACAAUGGAAUCGGACAAGUACAUAUGCGUCAGGGAAACUGCACCUCAGAACAGUGUUGUUAUCAUUGACAUGAGUACGCCAAUGCAGCCUUUGAUACAGCCCAUCAUAACUGCAGAUUCUGCUCUAAUAAACCCCAAUUCUCGUAUUCUUGCUCUGAAAGUUUGUCUUUUGGAAAUGGAUAACUCCCCAAACAUGCUAAGAAUUGUUACUCGGACGGACGUCAGCUAAAGUUAAAAUACUUCAAGGAUUUUAUUUACUGCGUGUACUAACUGCAAAAGAGACCGGAACUAGUAAAAGGGAACUGCAACUCUUCUCUGUGGAUCAGCAACGAAGUCAGGCUCUCCAAGAACAUGCUGCCUCGUUUGCUACAUUUAGAGUGGCUGGGAAUGAUAAGAAUUCUAAUCUUAUUUGCUUUACAUCAAAGAGUACGAAUGCUGGACAGGUUACAUCAAAGAUGUCAUUGAACUUGGUGCCCAACCAGGAAAACCAUCGUUUACUAAGAAGCAAGCAGAUCUUUUCUUCCCUCCAGACUUUGCUGACGACUUUCCUAUGUCAAUGCAGAUUUCAAAUAAAAUAUGGAAUGAUUUCUGUUAUAACAAAGCUUGGGCUUUUAUUCGUCUCAUGGUUAGGCAGAAGACCAAAGAGCCCAAGGUGGACAGUGAGUUCAUUUAUGCAUAUGCAAAGAUUGAUCGGCUUGGAGAAAUUGAAGAAUUUAUAUUGAUGCCAAAUGCUGCUAAUUUACCCAAUGUUGGAGACCGCUUCUUAAACAAUUUCAGGGUGCUGUUCUAGGAAAUCAAAGAGUUGAAAAACAUGGGAAGGAAAUUUGUUUAGCAUGCAUUGAUGCUGAAGAAUUCCCCUUGGCUCAGAUUUGUGGUCUCAAUGUCAUUAUUCAGAUUGAAAAGCAUGAGGUUCUUGAGAUGAGGCGUGUCGCAGCUUAUAUUUAUAAAAAAGCUGGAAGAUGGAAGCAGUCUGUUGGUUUGUCAAAAAAGCACAAUCUUUACUCUCAGGAUUUGCUUGUUUACUUUAUGGAGCAGUUCAUUCUUUCACUUUACACAAAUUUUGUUCGUCUGAUUUCGUAUAUAAAUAUUCAUCAACUACUAUCAAUGUUCUAUCUGUGCCGGUUAGUUUCCCUUUUGCCUUUCACUGAUAAGUUUGGGUUAUUUUAUUUUA